GGGGGUGAGCCCAGUGGUAGAGUAUGUGCCUAACAUGCACGAGGUCCUGGGUUCAAUCCCCAGUACCUCCA
rnacentral:tRNA from 1 species